rnacentral:rRNA from 1 species
UGCCAGCCGCCGCGGUAAUACGUAGGUGGCAAGUGUUAUCCGGAAUUAUUGGGCGUAAAGCGCGCGUAGGCGGUUUUUUAAGGCUGAUGUGAAAGCCCACGGCUCAACCGUGGAGGGUCAUUGGAAACUGGAAAACUUGAGUGCAGAAGAGGAAAGUGGAAUUCCAUGUGUAGCGGUGGAAUGCGUAGAUAUUGGGAGGAACAUCAAUGGCGAAGGCACCCUGCUAGGCCGAUACUGACACUGAAAGACGAAAGCUAGGGGAGCAAAUGGGAUUAGAUA